rnacentral:rRNA from 1 species
GAUGAACGCUGACAGAAUGCUUAACACAUGCAAGUCAACUUGGACUUCGGUUUGGGUGGCGGACGGGUGAGUAACGCGUAAAGAACUUGCCUCACAGAUAGGGACAACAUUUGGAAACGAAUGCUAAUACCUGAUAUUAUGAUUUUAGGGCAUCCUAGAAUUAUGAAAGCUAUAUGCGCUGUGAGAGAGCUUUGCGUCCCAUUAGCUAGUUGGAGAGGUAACGGCUCACCAAGGCGAUGAUGGGUAGCCGGCCUGAGAGGGUGAUCGGCCACAAGGGGACUGAGACACGGCCCUUACUCCUACGGGAGGCAGCAGUGGGGAAUAUUGGACAAUGGACCAAGAGUCUGAUCCAGCAAUUCUGUGUGCACGAUGAAGUUUUUCGGAAUGUAAAGUGCUUUCAGUUGGGAAGAAAAAAAUGACGGUACCGACAGAAGAAGUGACGGCUAAAUACGUGCCAGCAGCCGCGGUAAUACGUAUGUCACAAGCGUUAUCCGGAUUUAUUGGGCGUAAAGCGCGUCUAGGUGGUUAUAUAAGUCUGAUGUGAAAAUGCAGGGCUCAACUCUGUAUUGCGUUGGAAACUGUGUAACUAGAGUACUGGAGAGGUAAGCGGAACUACAAGUGUAGAGGUGAAAUUCGUAGAUAUUUGUAGGAAUGCCGAUGGGGAAGCCAGCUUACUGGACAGAUACUGACGCUGAAGCGCGAAAGCGUGGGUAGCAAACAGG